GACGAACGCUGGCGGCGUGCUUAACACAUGCAAGUCGAGCGAGGCCCCUCCUUCGGGGGGGUGUCCUAGCGGCGAACGGGUGAGUAACACGUGGGCAACCUGCCCUCAGCUCUGGGAUAACUCCGGGAAACCGGGGCUAAUACCGGAUACGACCUCCACGGGCAUCUGCGGAGGUGGAAAGUUUUUCGGCUGAGGAUGGGCCCGCGGCCUAUCAGCUAGUUGGUGGGGUAGUGGCGCACCAAGGCGACGACGGGUAGCCGGCCUGAGAGGGCGACCGGCCACACUGGGACUGAGACACGGCCCAGACUCCUACGGGAGGCAGCAGUGGGGAAUAUUGCGCAAUGGGCGGAAGCCUGACGCAGCAACGCCGCGUGAGGGACGACGGCCUUCGGGUUGUAAACCUCUUUCAGCAGGGACGAAGCGAAAGUGACGGUACCUGCAGAAGAAGCACCGGCCAACUACGUG
rnacentral:rRNA from 1 species